rnacentral:rRNA from 1 species
AUUGAACGCUGGCGGCAGGCCUAACACAUGCAAGUCGAGCGAGCGGCGGACGGGUGAGUAAUGUAUGGGGACUGCCCGAUAGAGGGGGGUAACUACUGGAAACGGUGGCUAAUACCGCAUACUAUCGGAUAACCCAUAUGGGAUUAGCAAGUAGGUGGGGUAAAGGCGCACCUAGGCGACGAUCUCUAGCUGGUCUGAGAGGAUGAUAAGCCACACUGGGAUUUGGCAACGGCCCAGACUCCUACGGAGGCAGCAGUUGGGAAUUUUGCACAAUGGGGGCAAGCCUGAUGCAGCCAUGCCGCGUGUAUGAAGAAGGCCUUAGGGUUGUAAAGUACUUUCAGCGGGGAGGCGUUACCAGCAGAAGAAGCAACGGCUAACUCCGUGCCAGCCGCCGCGGUAAUAC